AAUGAACGCUGGCGGCAGGCCUAACACAUGCCAGUCGAGCGAGCAUUUCGGUGCUAGCGGCGGACGGGUGAGUAACGCGUGGGAACGUGCCCUUUUCUGCGGAAUAGUCCUGGGAAACUGGGGGUAAUACCGCAUACGCCCUUUUGGGGAAAGAUUUAUCGGAGAAGGAUCGGCCCGCGUUGGAUUAGGUAGUUGGUGGGGUAAUGGCCCACCAAGCCGACGAUCCAUAGCUGGUUUGAGAGGAUGAUCAGCCACACUGGGACUGAGACACGGCCCAGACUCCUACGGGAGGCAGCAGUGGGGAAUCUUAGACAAUGGGGGCAACCCUGAUCUAGCCAUGCCGCGUGAGUGAUGAAGGCCUGAGGGUUGUAAAGCGCUUGCAGCUGUGAAGAUAAUGACGGUACCAGCAGAAGAAGCCCCGGCUAACUCCGUG
rnacentral:rRNA from 1 species